GAUGAACGCUGGCGGCGUGCCUAAUACAUGCAAGUCGAGCGAGCAGACGAGGAGCUUGCUCCUCUGACGUUAGCGGCGGACGGGUGAGUAACACGUGGAUAACCUACCUAUAAGACUGGGAUAACUUCGGGAAACCGGAGCUAAUACCGGAUAAUAUAUUGAACCGCAUGGUUCAAUAGUGAAAGACGGUUUUGCUGUCACUUAUAGCUGGAUCCGCGCCGCAUUAGCUAGUUGGUAAGGUAACGGCUUACCAAGGCAACGAUGCGUAGCCGACCUGAGAGGGUGAUCGGCCACACUGGAACUGAGACACGGUCCAGACUCCUACGGGAGGCAGCAGUAGGGAAUCUUCCGCAAUGGGCGAAAGCCUGACGGAGCAACGCCGCGUGAGUGAUGAAGGUCUUCGGAUCGUAAAACUCUGUUAUUAGGGAAGAACAAAUGUGUAAGUAACUAUGCACGUCUUGACGGUACCUAAUCAGAAAGCCACGGCUAACUACGUG
rnacentral:rRNA from 1 species